AAUAUACUCCCUCCGUCCCAAAAUUCUUGUCUUAGAUUUGUCUAGAUACGGAUGUAUCUAAUACUAAAACGUGACUUGAUACAUCCGUAUUUAGACAAAUCUAAGACAAGAAUUUUGGGACGGAGGGAGUAUAUC
rnacentral:pre_miRNA from 1 species